rnacentral:rRNA from 1 species
GAGUUUGAUCAUGGCUCAGGAUGAACGCUAGCGGCAGGCUUAAUACAUGCAAGUCGAGGGGCAGCAGCUUUAUAGCAAUAUAGAGGCUGGCGACCGGCAAACGGGUGCGGAACACGUACACAACCUUCCUUGAAUAGGGGGAUAGCCCAUAGAAAUGUGGAUUAAUACCCCGUAAUAUAGCGGUGUGGCAUCACACUGUUAUUAUAGUUUCGGCGAUUCGAGAUGGGUGUGCGGCUGAUUAGGUAGUUGGCGGGGUAAAGGCCCACCAAGCCUUCGAUCAGUAGCUGAUGUGAGAGCAUGAUCAGCCACACGGGCACUGAGACACGGGCCCGACUCCUACGGGAGGCAGCAGUAAGGAAUAUUGGUCAAUGGACGCAAGUCUGAACCAGCCAUGCCGCGUGAAGGAUGAAGGUCCUCUGGAUUGUAAACUUCUUUUAUAGGGGGCGAAAAAAGGUCUUUCUAGAUCACUUGACAGUACCCUAUGAAUAAGCACCGGCUAACUCCGUGCCAGCAGCCGCGGUAAUACGGAGGGUGCAAGCGUUAUCCGGAUUCACUGGGUUUAAAGGGUGCGUAGGCGGGUAGGUAAGUCAGAGGUGAAAUCCUGGAGCUUAACUCCAGAACUGCCUUUGAUACUAUCUAUCUUGAAUAUGGUGGAGGUAAGCGGAAUAUGUCAUGUAGCGGUGAAAUGCAUAGAUAUGACAUAGAACACCUAUUGCGAAAGCAGCUUACUACGCCUAUAUUGACGCUGAGGCACGAAAGCGUGGGGAUCAAACAGGAUUAGAUACCCUGGUAGUCCACGCCCUAAACGAUGAUUACUCGACGUAUGCGAUACACAGUAUGCGUCUGAGCGAAAGCAUUAAGUAAUCMMCUGGGAAGUACGACCGCAAGGUUGAACUCAAAGGAUUGGCGGGGUCCGCACAARCGUGGGGCAUGUGGUUUAAUUCRAUGAUACSCRAGAACCUUWCUUGGCUAGAUGCAGYCUGACCGUGGGGUGAASYCAUCGUACAAUACGCAAAUGGUAAGGUGCUGCAUGCCUGCCUMMGCUCAKCGUGARGKUGUUUAAUCGCACGAACGCAACCUUWMCUAAGCCAAAGUAGC